AUGAUGCCCAGGAUGUGACCAGUAACUUCCUGGGGGCGAUGUGGCUCAUCUCUAUCACCUUCCUGUCUAUUGGCUACGGAGACAUGGUGCCUCACACGUACUGUGGCAAAGGAGUCUGUUUACUAACCGGCAUCAUGUUAUUUUCUCCUUGUCCCUUUAUUCUGUCAGCCUCUUUCUCUGUAUCUGUCUUCCUGUCUGUUCCUGCUCACACUAACAUACGCCCACACCUUCACUUACAAAGCCAGAUACACACACAUACACACAGGGUGGACACAGAUACUCCCAUACCCGCUGUUACUGACUGCAUCCUACACACACCACUAUCACAGAGCUUGACUCUCAAUAUGAUUCCAGAUACAUCGCAGCGCACUCACUCAAACACACACACAAACACAAACACAUGUACAUACAAAAACACACACACAUAUGCAAGAUCAUGCACAUAAACAUAAACACACACAAAUACACACACACAGACAGACACACACACACAAAAUAGUUAUAUAGACAGGGUCUCUGUCUCUGAGAGGUUUUUGUUUCUAUUCCCCAGAAGAGGGGGAUGGAUGGAGAAAGCUACAGAGAGAACGAUAGAGAGGAACAGAAAGAACAAGGAGGAUGAGCAGAGAAGGGAAAGAGGAGGGUGCGGGCUGUACAGCUCUGGUGGUUGCCGUGGUAGCAAGGAAGCUGGAGUUGACCAAGGCGGAGAAACACGUCCACAACUUCAUGAUGGACACACAACUCACCAAGAGGGUA